rnacentral:rRNA from 1 species
GGACUCCUGUCGAGUAUAGUGGGGACGGGUGAGUAACACGUGGGUAACCUCCCAUCAGAGGGGAUAACACUUGGAAACAGGUGCUAAACCGAUAUUGAUGGAUGGAGCCGCGAUGCAUUAGCUAGUGGGUGAGGUUAAUGCUCACCAAGGCAACGAUGCAGAGCCGGCCUUAGAGGUUGAUCGGCCACAUGGGGCUUGAGAAACUGCCCAGACUCCUACGGUAGGCAUCCGUAGGGACUCUUCGGCAAUGGUCGCAAGUCUGACCGAGCAACGCCGCGUGAGUGAAGAAGGUUUUCGGAUGGUAAACCUCUUGUGUUAGAGAAGCGGUAGCUAACCAGAAAGCCACGGCUACCUACGUGCCAGCCGCCGCGGUAAUAC